rnacentral:piRNA from 1 species
UAACUGUGGUUCAACUGCCAA